AGUAAUAUGCCUGAUAAAAGGAAUAUUUUGAUGAAAUACUUAUGUAAUUCUUUACUAUUACUA
rnacentral:tRNA from 1 species